AGGAAAUAGAUACCCAGGUAGUCCACGCCGUAAACGAUGGGCACUAGGUGCUGGGGGGAGCGGACCCCGUCAGUGCCGUAGCUAAACGCGAUAAGUGCCCCGCCUGGGGAGUACGGCCGCAAGGCUGAAACUCAAAGGAAUUGACGGGGGGCCCGGCACAAGCGGUGGAGCAUGUGGUUUAAAUUCGAAGCAACGCGAAGAACCUUACCUAGGUUUGACAUGCUGGUGAAAGCCUCUGGAAACAGGGGCCCUUCUUCGGAACACCAGCACAGGUGCUGCAUGGCUGUCGUCAGCUCGUGUCGUGAGAUGUUGGGUUAAGUCCCGCAACGAGCGCAACCCUUUGCCCCGUGUUACUAACAGGUAAAGCUGAGGACUCUCGGGGGACUGCCGGCGUCAAGCCGGAGGAAGGUGGGGACGACGUCAAGUCAUCAUGGCCCUUACGCCUAGGGCGACACA
rnacentral:rRNA from 1 species